ensembl:lncRNA
GCUUGCACCCCUCCUAAGCCUGAAAAAUGACAAGUCUUUUCCACUUUAUAAUAAUCACGACAGCGUAGGAGAGCCCUGUUAAGAUACACAAGUACUUUGAUGAUGAACAUUUUCAGAUACCAGAGCUCCAGUCUGCUGGGAUUCGACUCUAUAAACAAUCAGAAAUUAUUGCUUUGCUUUGUUUGUAACAGCCAAACUCUCAGGGGUGUCAUUUUUUUUUUAUCUCUGCAAAAAAAGAAAGAAAUUCUGCAUGGGGAGGAUGUUAUGCAUGUGAGACAGAGUGAGAGAAUAUGUGUAAGUGUGUGUGUGUGCGCGCGUGUGUGUGUAAAUAACCAAAGUGUAGCAGCUGUCUCAGUCCACCAUACUGAGUUAUAAUAGAUCAAAGGCAGCUAAACUGAAGCUUACUGUUGCACUGACAGGGUAGCAAAAUUAACAGCUGCAUUUACCUGCAUUUGAAAGAGUUUUUUGUUUUGUUUUUUUUAGAAUUGAUUGCAGUGUUGAGCAGUGAGUGGCAGGGCUUAACAUCGGUUGCGUUGAAUUGCUUCAAAAGCAGGUUGAAAAGUCACCUCACAGAGAUUCUACCUUGAAGUUUGAGAAGUAACACCAUCAGGUAUCUGUUCACACAUUUGCUUUAGUUUGGUUUUGACACAAAUCCCACUACAAUUUUUGGACUUGUUACAUUUUUAUUGAAAGACCUUCUAAGAAUUCCAGCACAUGCUAUAGAUUCAUAUUUAUUUGUUGCAAUCACAGUAACACGACGACGGCUAAUAACAGAGAUCUCUAUUGCAAACCAAAGAUUACAGUUUGCUAAAAUUACUUCCUGAAAAACCAUGAAUGCAAACCAGGACAUGCAGUUCUGUGCAUGCUGUUUCAACGUCACACAUAGCCACCUCAAAGCGAGCAGCCCCAACAGGUCAGACUCUGGUCAAAUGACACUUUGACCAAAAAAAAAAGGGGGGGGGGCAGCUUUAUUGCUUUGUGUGUUUUCUACAGACCUCUUUGUACCUGUUGGGCUGCUGUACAUUUCAG